UUAUAUUUACAAGACUAAUAAAUGUUGAGCUCAUAAAAGAGGUCAAAGAAACAAAACUGAACUCAGGCAAAGACUGCAACCUUAACAAACCAAAUGACUGCCCAAACAUACAUAAUUGACCUAAACAUGAAAUGACAUACAAGGGUAUAUAUAAUGGCUGAUCAGACCAUUGUGACACAUGAGGGGUAACAAACAAACACAAUCAUAAAUCACAAACGAUGCAGUACAAUCUAGUUUGUUAAUAAACUAAACACUAAAGAAGAAAAUCAAAAACCCCAUUAAACCCUAAACUCAAAUAUUUAAUUAAAUACAAAUACUUUGUUUUUAAAGUAAAGAAAACACACAUUCCCCCCUUCAGCAGGAAGUGGUGGUGUGGUCCAAUUAUCUUCCUUUGUAUUUAAUGGUUUCAAACCCUGGCUACCAUCUUUUGUCCAGCAACUCCCAGGGAUGAUGGCAGAAAUGGCCGUCUACCAGCAGCCCACCCAGGUAGUGACGAUCACCACCACUAAUCUAAACCAUGGGGAGUGGAGCACUGGCCUCUGUGAUUGCUUCAGUGAUAUGGGCACUUGUUGCUGUGCCCUUUGGUGUUUUCCCUGCAUGCAGUGUGAUACAGCCAACAAGCACGGG